rnacentral:lncRNA from 1 species
AUUGUGUUCGGAAUUUUUUGUUUAUUUCGUCAUUCCGCUGAUAUGGCGAUUUCUUUGACGACUGCAAUAUAUUUCUGAAUUGUUUGAGUGAAUUGCUCUUUAUUAUUAAAAUAUCCAAAAUUAAAGAAAAGCCGAACACAAUUUUGAAACUGACGUCUUUAGCUAUGUCCUGUGAAAAUUUGAGAAAAAUUGGUCAAAACCCGCAGGAGCACAACUCGUUUGAAAAUCAGUAAUUACCGUAAAAUUCUUCGGGAGAAAAUUGAAUUUGAAUAUUACAUUUUCAAUGUUUUUCUUAUUGCAGCGAUACGUAUUUUAUUAAAUAACUCUGCGAGUUUUCAACAUUUUUCGUUCAAACUUGGUCAGAUAGUAGAACUAGUCUAAUGC